GUGCAAGCGAGCCAACAAAGAAUGGUAAAGCCAACAGUAAAUAUGAUGGCAAGAAAUCUGAGUUGUCCAAGGUGAAGAGUCUGAACAGAGGUGAUGAUUCUGCAAAAAAAAGGAAGCAACAAGCAAACAAAAAGCAACGCAUUAUCAUUGACUCAGGUAUGCUACAGCUACAAGGCGCCCAUGAUCGGCCUGCGUCUGCAAAACAGAAGGGAAACCACGUUGUUUAACAGCAAGUUUCUGAAGAAGAGGUGCCAGUAAAGAAGCACAGGAAACCCUCCAAGGAAUCCCCCAAGGAAUCCCCCAAGGAAUCCAAGUCUUCAUCCAAACCUGCACACCCAGCAAAAAAAUACCCUGUGGUGGAU